rnacentral:lncRNA from 1 species
GGAUUGGGAUAUUCCGACUCCUUAAGGGCCUGGCGCACAUAAGGUGUGACCUUUUCAUUCCCGUUGUUAUGGAGGGCCACAUCUGCCAGAGCCUGGAGUCUGCGAAGGCCGGGACCCGGUUCCCCGGCCCACAGUGGGGGUGUGCAAACCCGAGAGAACUGGGUUGCAAAUUCGUGAAGAAUCAGCAUCAUGUUUGGCAGCUGAGUAUUGGAGCCAGGAGCCUGCCAUGAGGUUUUGAGAACAGAGUGCUGUUUUAGAGCUGGCAGCAGCAUCUCAGCCCAAGAGAAGCCGAUGCAGCCUCAGUGUUCCUUUGCCUUGGGGGUUUCUGAGUGGUGGGGUUGUAAGCAGAUCCUGCCAGGCACCCAGAAGGAAACCUCAUCAGGACUCCCUCAGAAAGCAGGCCCUGAAGAAUCCUGUGACCUUCAUCUAAAGUAGGUCAUGAGACCCCUGAGCUUAAAACGGAGUGAUCGGCUUUGGAGAAGCAUGACUCCACAGUUUCUGCAACAACAGAGCCGGGGAAAGGAGGACGCAGCAAGCGCUGAAUAUUAACCAGCAAAGGUAGAUGCUUCAAUAUCGAAACCACCGGGACCCGCAUGUGCAAAGCUACUUAAUGAGGGUGUAAUCAAACACAGUCUACCAGAAGGAAAUUAAUUAGAGUCCGGAGAGCAAGCAGGAAGCAGAACCAGGCUGCUCCCCCUCCUGGCUCUAGAACAUCACUGGCAGCCACUGCUAAGGGAGGGACAAGGCUGGGGGAUGCCAGGCCUCAGCUGGGUGCCAGGGCUCCUGUCCUCUUCCCCGUGACAUUCCGGCUUGCCUUUGGGGGACACC